rnacentral:rRNA from 1 species
UACGAAGGGGGCUAGCGUUGCUCGGAAUCACUGGGCGUAAAGCGCACGUAGGCGGGUCUUUAAGUCAAGGGUGAAAUCCUGGAGCUCAACUCCAGAACUGCCUUUGAUACUGAGGAUCUCGAGUCCGGGAGAGGUGAGUGGAACUCCGAGUGUAGAGGUGAAAUUCGUAGAUAUUCGGAAGAACACCAGUGGCGAAGGCGGCUCACUGGCCCGGUACUGACGCUGAGGUGCGAAAGCGUGGGGAGCAAACAGG